GUAAAGAUGGCUGAGAAUAGGUGGUGGGUUGUAAUUCCAUUUACGGGGUGUGAUCCUCUCUUUACA
rnacentral:tRNA from 1 species